UUGACCUCGGAUCAGGUUCGUUCUAGGG
rnacentral:rRNA from 1 species